rnacentral:rRNA from 1 species
AAACUAAUUUAUUUUGACAGCCUCUCAUUUAAUUAAAGGAAUUUGUCCUUUAAUCGAUAAUCCACGUUAAAUUUCACUUCAAUUAUAAUUUAUAUACCGCCAUCUCAAGAAUUAAUUUCAAUAUACUUCUCAGAAUNNNNNNUAAAAAGUUAGGUCAAGGUGUAAUUUACAUUCAAGAAUAAGAUGAAUUACAUUAAAUAUAAUCUAAAGAUUAUAUGUAUAUAUAUAUAUAUAAAUAAGAAUUUAAAAGUAAUAUUUUAAAUAAUAAUAAAAUAUGAUAUAAAUAAUAAAGGUGUACACAUCGCCC